CCUACGGGUGGCAGCAGUGAGGAAUAUUGGUCAAUGGACGCAAGUCUGAACCAGCCAAGCCGCGUGCGGGAAGACGGCUCUGUGAGUUGUAAACUGCUUUUGUACGAGGGUAAACGCAGAUACGCGUAUCUGUCUGAAAGUAUCUGACGAAUCAGCAUCGGCUAACUCCGUGCCAGCAGCCGCGGUAAUCCGGAGGAUUCAAGCGUUAUCCGGAUUUAUUGGGUUUAAAGGGUGCGUAGGCGGUCGGAUAAGUUAGAGGGGAAAUCCCGAGGCUCAACUUCGGAAUGGCCUCUGAUACUGUUCGGCUAGAGAGUAGCUGAGGUAGGCGGAAUGUAUGGUGUAGCGGUGAAAUGCUUAGAGAUCAUACAGAACACCGAUUGCGAAGGCAGCUUACCGAGCUACUACUGACGUUGAGGCACGAAAGCGUGGGGAGCAAACAGGAUUAGAUACCCGAGUAGUC
rnacentral:rRNA from 1 species